UCUUUUUGUCGAAACUCGAAAGUCAGAAAAAUAGGAUCAGUGUAAUAACAAGGCCUUAUUCUGGUUUUUCACUGUCGUUUUGUGUUUAUUGCUUUUUAGUUUGGGUGAGUUCAGCUAAACACCCCGUAGACUUUGAGUAUGGAAAAUCUAUGCUUCAUUGGCGACUAAACUGCAAACUUUUGCAUUUCCUUUUUCGUCGACGAAAUAUUCAACCGUCGACCCUUUCCUUUUACAACCAAGUUCUUGGAAUCGUGGCUAUAACGCCACCCAUUUCAACUACUUCCACAAGCUUUGUUUUUUUUCUUCUCAAUCGCAGUUUUUGGGUAAGAAAAUAGUGGGAAAUUGAGGAAUUUGAAGUUGGGUGUGAAAUUGAUUCAUGGGUCUCGUUUGGAAUCAACGAGGCUCGAGAACAGAGACGACUCUUCAAGAAGGUUUACCAGUUUCAUCAGGAGGUGGUGGUGGUGCGCUUCCGAAGAAGAAAUGGUCGAAUUUAAUGCCUUUAUUUGUGGCUCUUGUAGUUAUUGCGGAGAUCGCGUUUUUGGGUAGGUUGGAUAUGGCAAAGAACGCAGCUAUGGUGGCUGACUUGUUCUAUCGGUCACGUGUGGUGGUUGAAAGUGAUGAUUUGGGGAUAGAGAUGGUGGGGGAUGAUCGGAAUUUUGAGGCAGAAACAGAAAGUUGUGAGGCAUGGUUGGAGAGGGAAGAUGCUGUUACAUAUUCAAGGGACUUUGUUAAGGAACCUGUUUUUGUUUCUGGAGCUGAACAGGAGUGGAAGUCAUGUUCAGUGGGAUGUAAAUUUGGGUUUAAUGGGGACAAGAAGCCUGAUGCUGCAUUUGGCGUACCUCACCCAGUUGGAACAGCAUGUGUUCUACGAUCAAUGGAAUCCGGUCAGUACUAUGCAGAGAACAAUCUUGCCAUGGCACGACGGAGGGGAUAUAACAUUGUAAUGACAACAAGUCUAUCAUCUGAUGUUCCUGUUGGAUAUUUUUCAUGGGCUGAGUAUGACAUCAUGGCACCGGUAAAGCCAAAAACUGAAAAAGCUCUUGCAGCUGCUUUCAUUUCCAACUGUGGUGCUCGAAAUUUUCGUUUGCAAGCUCUUGAAGCCCUUGAGAAAACAAACAUCUCAAUUGACUCUUAUGGUGGUUGUCAUAGGAACCGAGAUGGAAGAGCAGUGGACAAAGUGGAAGCCCUGAAGCACUACAAAUUUAGCUUAGCAUUUGAAAAUUCUAACGAGGAGGAUUAUGUAACUGAAAAAUUCUUCCAAUCCCUUGUUGCUGGAACUAUCCCUGUGGUUGUUGGUGCUCCAAAUAUUCAAGAUUUUUCUCCUUCUCCUGGUUCAAUUUUACAUAUUAAAGAACUAGAAGAUGUUGAGUCUGUUGCCAAGACCAUGAGAUACCUUGCAGAAAACCCUGAAGCAUAUAAUCAAUCAUUGAGGUGGAAGUUUGAGGGCCCAUCUGAUUCUUUCAAGGCCCUUGUGGAUAUGGCAGCUGUACAUUCAUCUUGUCGCCUUUGCAUUCACUUGGCCACUGUGAGUAGGGAGAAGGAAGAAAAGAGCGCAGGCUUCAAGAAACGCCCCUGCAAGUGCACUCAAGGGUCAGAAACUGUAUAUCAUAUCUAUGUGAGAGAAAGGGGAACAUUUGAGAUGGAGUCCAUUUACUUGAGGUGUAGGAUUUUCUGUUUCUGCUGCUGCAGUUUGUUGGCUUUGAGUUCUUUGGAGGAAUCUUCAACUUGCAAGUAGUAAAGUCCAACACACUCUUUAGUAUCAAUUGUCUUACCUAACUCCAAAAUUUGAAAUUCACACAGAUUGGGAAAAAUUUUAGGGACACAUCUGAAGUCUCUGGUUAGUUUGUUAAUAGACAGCAAGUUGCAAUCAAGUUUGGGCACAUACAGUACAUAAUUCAGAGUAAUAUUUUUUGAAAUAAUAACAGAACCUUACCAGUAAUGUUUGACAAGGUACCAUCAGCAAUCCGAAUAGAGGAGUUAUCAUGACAGGGAGAAUAAUUGUCAAAUAUUAUUAUAUCUCCAGUCAUGUGAUCUGAAGCUCCUGAAUCUAUGAUCCAUGAUUUUGGUUUUCCUUUGCUAGUGUGUAAAGCAUGUAGGAAAUUACCUUUUUGUGCUACUGAAGCUGUACCACAUUUUUCUGCAGUAAGAACAAUCUGCAGGAGCAUUUUCUGCAGAGCCUCUAUUUGUUCUUUGUUGAAUGGAGAUGAAUCCUGUUUCUCUUCCAUUUCUUGUGGGUUGUGUUGCAUUGCCUCUGAUGUCCCUGUUGCAAAAUGGUUUUGACCUAUCCAUUGAAGGUGGUUUUGGCCAUUCAACUUGUGGCCAGUGAUGAGAAGUUUAGUCCCUUCGAUUGAGCCGACAAGAUUUAUGCCGGUCUCUGUGGAUCUAGUAAUUUAACUCUGGAGGGAUUCAAGUCUGCAGUUCUUAUGAAGUUCACAUCCCUGAAUCAUGUUCCUGUAUGGAAGCCUGAGAGACCCAAAAGUCUAAAAGGCAGCAAUGAAUUGAAGCUUUAUAGAAUAUACCCUCUCGGCUUGACACAAAGGCAAGCUCUUUAUACCUUCAGCUUCAAUGGGGAUAAUGAUUUCAGGGGUCACUUGGAAAGCAAUCCUUGUGCCAAGUUUGAAGUUGUUUUUGUGUAGCAUGUGAUGAUGACCUCCCUGCAAAUU